ensembl:snRNA U6 U6 spliceosomal RNA
GUGCUCACUUUGGCAGCCUAUAUACUAAAACUGUAAUGAUACAGAGAAGAUUAGCAUGGCUCCUAUGCAAGGAUGACACACAAAUUCAUGAAGCAGUUCAUAUUUUU